GAUGAACGCUGGCGGCGUGCCUAAUACAUGCAAGUCGAGCGAACGGACGAGAAGCUUGCUUUUCUGAUGUUAGCGGCGGACGGGUGAGUAACACGUGGAUAACCUACCUAUAAGACGGGGAUAACUUCGGGAAACCGGAGCUAAUACCGGAUAAUAUUUUGACCCGCAUGGUUCAAAAGUGAAAGACGGUUUUGCUGUCACUUAUAGAUGGAUCCGCGCUGCAUUAGCUAGUUGGUAAGGUAACGGCUUACCAAGGCAACGAUGCAUAGCCGACCUGAGAGGGUGAUCGGCCACACUGGAACUGAGACACGGUCCAGACUCCUACGGGAGGCAGCAGUAGGGAAUCUUCCGCAAUGGGCGAAAGCCUGACGGAGCAACGCCGCGUGAGUGAUGAAGGUCUUCGGAUCGUAAAACUCUGUUAUUAGGGAAGAACAUAUGUGUAAGUAACUGUGCACAUCUUGACGGUACCUAAUCAGAAAGCCACGGCUAACUACGUG
rnacentral:rRNA from 1 species